GAGUGAAGAGCUUCCUUUCUCCUUUACCUGUCCCUGGGAAAUCAACCUAAGCCUGUAAUGGAAAACUGGCUGUCUCCUAACUCACUCUGAUCAUGGACCUGGAGACAGAACAACAUCAACACACAGCCCAUCACAGCGUCUUCCAUUAUGUGGCCUUUUUGACGUUUGGCGGGCAUUUCCUGUACUCUGACACCUUCAACGCCGCACUGAGGAACCGAACUGAUGGGGACUCAGGAACGACCUCCACUGCUCUUAAUGGUUCAGUGAAGACGGGAGAGGCUGACCCCGAGGAGACAGGGAUGUAAAAGCACAUUCAAGCACAGAACAUCCAAGAGGCAUCUGGCCCACUACAGUUAAUCAGCGCUCCCCACCCACGGAGUCUCUGCCCGAAGAGCAGUCACCCCAUCUGUUCCUCAGCAGCGGGGCCAGGAGGCAGAGCCUGCUGCUGACCGGGCACUGUGAUACCAAGGCCCUGAUGGAGGAGCUCAACCAGCAGCUGGCCAAACUCAGUUUCUUUCAUUUAAUUAGCUCUGGAAUUCUUGUAAGCCAUUGAGACAGUUCAGCCAGAAUGAUGAACAGAAAAACAACAGCAAUGAGGAUGAGGAUGAGGACCAUGUGCCAGGCAGUGAUAUUAACAACAGGGAGGAUCAUAUUGGCCAUCCAUAUUCAAGGAAGCAGGUCAUCCUUCAUGGGGAUCCAAGUCAACGGGCACUACCAGAUAUUGCAGCACCGCUCACAUAAAACACUAGAAACUCAGCAGCUACCACUAGGCAGUGUUCUCAGAUACUGAAUGAGUUGCAUGUGCAUGUGUGAAAGAGACAGAGUGUUUUGACUUCUUCCAUUGGCAUAACGCGGGAUGUGCUUAGACUCACAAAUGCAUUCCUCAGCACAGCCCACAGGGUCAAAAACAAACAGAAAGAUUCAGGUAGCACCUGAGUUUUCAUUCGGCUUUCCUCGUGUGUGGCUCAUUUUCAA